GGGGAUCCCAGAUUGCCGGAUGGACGGGUAUUGGCAUUCGGGAAUGCGUCCAGGAUGCUGCAGCCUAUCUCCAAGUUCCAUUGCUUGUACUUUCUCUCGGAAAUACUGGUUGUUCUGUGGGUUCUAUCGUGAGCAGAGUGCCUGCGUCGCUGCUCCCGCCGUAGCGUCUAUAUCGCUGGAGUGGAUGCAGCACGGAGAUAGAGCUGUGCUUUGUCGUACCACUGAGGGUGUCUGUUCGAGGAACGCUUCACCUGAAACGGUGUCGGGAUACAUAGUGAGUUUGGGAGCCAGAAAGCUGUACAGACAAGCCUAGUGCCUGCGACAGCUCGAAUUGAUAUUCUGGGCGUCCACUGCGACCCGGGCGACGCCCAGAUGCAGCGGAACUGCCCCGAGUCUCAGAGUCAACUGCGUUGCGUACGAGUUGCUCAGAUCUCGCUAGAGCACCGGGCACGGAGGAGAGCAUGGAGCACGAGCCUGGCAGACUCGCGCGGCUUGCAAGAUCUGCCACCUAUACGGUAAACUGUCGACAAUAUGGAAACAUUUUCCCGCUUUUAACGUUUAUCUUAGAGGACGAAAGAAAUCGUUGUAUCGUUGCUAGUGGAUCGUGCGUCUCUGUUCCUUUUCAACCAUGUGGAUCAUCGCUAUAGCUGCACAUCACUUGCUUUCGCUCUCCCGUUGUUAGACGUGCCGUUCCGUCCAUCACGCCGAUACCGUGCGUGUGUAUAAACCGACGUGCAGACGUCUAACAGCCUUUCUCGACCGGCCGCCUGUUCCUGGCUUCAGUUUCUCUCAUAUAAUUUAACCCUGAGCGGUUGCCCCAAAAAGUUGGGUCGCGCCAGCUCCGCGGGUCUUGUAUCCAUCGACGCACAGCUCUCUUUAUUGACGACUGAAUUAAAGUCACGAUUCACAAAAUCCAUCCGUUUCUUGCCGCAGCCGGUUAUAUACACCAGUGCAAGUAGACCUCAAAUUUGUGCCCUCCGUGUCCCUUCCCUUUGCUCUUCCGUCAGCGCUCCGUACUUGUCUAUAUCCCCAGCGCUCCGGUGGCACUUUUGCAUCUCGACCAAAUGACGUGUACACCCCCAGUUCAUGGUGUAUAUAGGACGUUCGGAACUUAUCUAUCGGUAUUGUGACAGAACGGUAUGCUCACUCCUUGUACUCCCUGCGUCAACGGAGCAGGUAUGCUCCCGUUUUGGUUAUCCAGCGCCCUGCUCCGUACGCUCUUACGAGCAUUUGACCCUUGUCUUCCUAGAGGGUGCUUAACUGAUUGAUGUAGUUAGUGAAUGCAAGCUGCUUGCCUCCGUCCAGGUUCAUUCGCUGAUGUGCCCACCAGAGCUUGAUAUACGCUUUCCACCGCUCCUGUUGAUGAGCAGUUUGAGGUUUCAUGAAUUCCCGAAAAGCUUGAAACUCCGCACCGCGGCUCGUCACCUGGAUCACAGCUUCCAGGUACUCUUUCACUCCUGCAUUCCAUGUCUCAAUUAUUUUCCUUGCAUUCAUUUUUCCCGAUUCUAGGUAAUAUCUCGCUUUCGAGAACUUUAAAA